CAGCACCCUUUCCCAUCCCCAUUCCCCGCCCACCUUGCCCUUCCCGUCACCUCUCUCUCCCUUUCUCUUUCUUUCUGUUUCUCUCUUCCCCUUAUUAUUUCUUCUUUCUUGCUACAGAAUAAGAACAAACGUGAUGCCGGCAAUCUCCGGCUGAAAGAACGAGAUUGACUACAGCCGAUCUGAAUUGGAAUCACCGUCGACAAUCUCUGGGUUCCAUGCGGAAGUAAGAAUCUCUGGGUUCCAUGUGUAAGUAAGAGUGAGAGAGAAAGAGAGGAAAGGAAAGAAAGAGAGUCGAAUAGAGAAAAGGGAUAAUGACGCCUGAAAAAUCCCCGGCCGAUGAGACAGGUGGGUGUGGGUGGUUCGGCGUCGUCAGGCUCGUGGUCCUCUGAUAUCUUAGUAAUUGUGAAACAAUUGGAAUUUUUUUAAUUUAAAAGAAUAAAUUAUAGAGGUGUCAAAUGUUUAUUUGUGGAACUCCAGGUCAGCAUAUGUGCCUGGUACAUGACAAUCCAAGUCCAAUUUCUCAUGGCAAAUGGGCUGCAUCUGCUCAUUGUUUUCUUGAAACUUGCGUGAAUAUGUUGUAAAAAUACAAUUGGUGAAACAGUUGGCAUUCAAUGUAAAAAUCUUCAUUAAUUAGUAUAAAAUUUAACGAUAUUAAUUUGUAUUUUAGAGAAUUUUAAUAAAUAUUUUUAAGUGACAA
rnacentral:sRNA from 1 species